rnacentral:rRNA from 1 species
CGCUGGCGGCGUGCUUAACACAUGCAAGUCGAACGAUGAAGGAGGAGCUUGCUCCUCUGGAUUAGUGGCGAACGGGUGAGUAACACGUGAGCAAUGUGCCCUUGACUCUGGAAUAAGCGCUGGAAACGGCGUCUAAUACCGGAUACGACCUUCGGAGGCAUCUCCUGGGGGUGGAAAGAAUUUCGGUCAAGGAUCAGCUCACGGCCUAUCAGUUAGUUGGUGAGGUAAUGGCUCACCAAGACGACGACGGGUAGCCGGCCUGAGAGGGUGACCGGCCACACUGGGACUGAGACACGGCCCAGACUCCUACGGGAGGCAGCAGUGGGGAAUAUUGCACAAUGGGCGCAAGCCUGAUGCAGCAACGCCGCGUGAGGGACGACGGCCUUCGGGUUGUAAACCUCUUUUAGCAGGGAAGAAGCGAGAGUGACGGUACCUGCAGAAAAAGCACCGGCUAACUACGUGCCAGCAGCCGCGGUAAUACGUAGGGUGCAAGCGUUGUCCGGAAUUAUUGGGCGUAAAGAGCUCGUAGGCGGUUUGUCACGUCUGCUGUGAAAUCCCGAGGCUCAACCUCGGGCUUGCAGUGGGUACGGGCAGACUAGAGUGCGGUAGGGGAGAUUGGAAUUCCUGGUGUAGCGGUGGAAUGCGCAGAUAUCAGGAGGAACACCGAUGGCGAAGGCAGAUCUCUGGGCCGUAACUGACGCUGAGGAGCGAAAGCAUGGGGAGCAAACAGGCUUAGAUACCCUGGUAGUCCAUGCCGUAAACGUUGGGAACUAGAUGUGGGGACCAUUCCACGGUCUCCGUGUCGUAGCUAACGCAUUAAGUUCCCCGCCUGGGGAGUACGGCCGCAAGGCUAAAACUCAAAGGAAUUGACGGGGGCCCGCACAAGCGGCGGAGCAUGCGGAUUAAUUCGAUGCAACGCGAAGAACCUUACCAAGGCUUGACAUAUGGGAGAACGCACUGGAGACAGUGAACUCUUUGGACACUCCUAUACAGGUGGUGCAUGGUUGUCGUCAGCUCGUGACGUGAGAUGUUGGGUUAAGUCCCGCAACGAGCGCAACCCUCGU